AGAGGGGCCCGGCGACGUCUGCGGGGGCCGCUCCCUCGGUGGGCCGCGGGCGAGGCAUGAGCGCGGGCUCCCCCUGCCUCCGGAGCGCCGGCGGGGGACCGCGGGGCAGGAGAUGUGCCUGUCCUUAGCGGCCCAGGAAGCAGCAUGCACCCCGAUGCGACCGACAGUGGCAGCGCCGGCCUCAGCCCCGCGCGGGCCGCAGGCGCCGGCGGCCGUCCUGUCUCGGGCUUCAGGGGCGAGCGGCGGCCGGAGUCCCCGGGGGACGCGGAGGCAGCAGCGGCGGCGCCGGGGGCCCCGGGCGGCCGGAGCUGGUGGAAGCCCGUGGCGGUGGCCGCACUCGCCGCCGUGGCCCUCUCCUUCCUGGGGCCCGGCAGCGGGGAGGCGGCGGGGGCCGCGGGGCUGAGCUCCGUCCUGUUCAGGCUCAGCCUGUACCUGAGCUGCGCUGCGGCCGCCUUCCUGCUGGGGACCCUGUUUGCCCUCGUCUGCCGGAGCCCGCGCGCCCAGCCGCCCGACUUCGCCGCCGCCUGGAGCCGGCUGGCCGCGACCUCAGCCGCCCGCCGCCCGCCGGGGAGUCCUGUGUAUGGAAACUCACAUGAGUCAGCUCAGUCUAGAAGAGUAGUAAUUUCUCAUAAUAUGGAUAAAGCUCUGAAAGAAGUGUUCGACUACAGUUAUAGAGAUUACAUUCUGUCCUGGUAUGGAAACCUCAGCAGAGAUGAGGGACAACUUUACCAUCUGCUCUUGGAAGACUUUUGGGAAAUUGCCAGACAGCUGCACCACAGACUGAGUCACGUGGAUGUGGUUAAAGUUGUCUGCAAUGAUGUUGUGAGGACUUUACUCACUCAUUUCUGUGACCUGAAAGCUGCCAAUGCCAGACAUGAAGAACAGCCAAGACCUUUUGUGUUGCACGCAUGCUUGAGGAACUCAGAUGAUGAAGUAAGAUUUCUACAAACGUGUUCUCGGGUUCUGGUGUUUUGUCUCCUCCCCUCAAAGGAUGUGCAGUCUCUCAGCUUACGUAUAAUGCUUGCAGAAAUUCUCACAACAAAAGUCUUGAAGCCGGUAGUGGAGUUACUGAGUAAUCCAGAUUACAUUAACCAAAUGCUGCUUGCCCAGCUGGCGUACAGAGAGCAAAUGAAUGAGCAUCACAAGAGAGCCUACACCUAUGCCCCCUCUUACGAGGACUUCAUCAAGCUCAUUAACAGCAACUCUGAUGUGGAGUUCUUGAAGCAACUAAGGGAAAGCAUACAAACAUCAGCCCUCCUGAUUCUUGAACCGAACUCAGCACUUGCAAAGUCGUAUCCUCCUCUGGAGAAAGAAAACCGAGUGAGUGCCAGGUAUCAAAUUGUAGUGGAAAUAAUCCAGGCGACUACAAUUAGCAGCUUUCCCCAGCUGAAGAGGCACAAAGGUAAAGAAACUGCGGCAAUGAAAGCUGAUCUCCUGAGGGCCAGGAACAUGAAGAGGUACAUCAACCAACUGACUGUGGCAAAGAAGCAGUGUGAGAAGAGAAUCCGAAUCCUGGGAGGCCCUGCCUAUGACCAGCAAGAGGAUGGGGCCCUGGAUGAGGGGGAAGGGCCUCAAAGCCAGAAGAUUCUUCAGUUUGAAGAUAUCUUGGCCAAUACGUUCUACCGAGAGCACUUUGGAAUGUACAUGGGAAGGAUGGACAAGAGAGCUCUGAUUAGUUUUUGGGAAUCUGUGGAACAUUUAAAGAAUGCUAACAAGAAUGAAAUUCCACAAUUAGUUGGUGAAAUUUAUCAGAAUUUCUUUGUGGAGAGCAAAGAAAUAUCUGUGGAAAAAUCACUUUACAAAGAAAUUCAGCAGUGUCUUGUAGGAAAUAAAGGUAUUGAAGUAUUCUACAAAAUCCAGGGAGAUGUUUAUGAGACCCUAAAGGAUAGGUAUUACCCUUCAUUUAUUGUCAGUGACCUGUAUGAGAAAUUGUUGAUAAAAGAGGAAGAAAAACAUGCCUCACAGAUGAUUUCCAACAAGGAUGAGAUGGGCCCAAGAGAUGAGGCUGGUGAGGAAGCCGUGGAUGAUGGUACCAAUCGGAUCAAUGAACAAGCCAGUUUUGCUGUAAACAAACUGCGAGAACUAAAUGAGAAACUUGAAUAUAAAAGGCAAGCUCUAAAUUCUAUUCAAAAUGCACCAAAACCUGACAAGAAGAUUGUUUCCAAGUUGAAGGAUGAAAUAAUCCUAAUAGAGAAAGAACGCACAGACCUUCAGCUGCACGUGGCAAGAACGGAUUGGUGGUGUGAAAACCUUGGCAUGUGGAAAGCCUCCAUCACCAGUGGAGAGGUUACAGAAGAGAAUGGUGAGCAAUUGCCAUGUUACUUUGUCAUGGUAAGCCUACAAGAAGUUGGAGGAGUUGAAACUAAGAACUGGACGGUCCCCAGAAGGCUCAGCGAGUUUCAGAAUUUACACCGGAAACUCAGUGAGUGCGUCCCUUCUUUAAAAAAAGUCCAGUUGCCUUCUCUUAGCAAGCUGCCUUUCAAAUCUAUAGAUCAAAAGUUUAUGGAAAAGUCGAAGAAUCAAUUAAAUAAGUUUUUACAGAAUCUGCUUUCAGAUGAAAGACUGUGUCAGAGUGAAGCACUUUAUGCCUUCUUGAGCCCUUCUCCUGACUACCUCAAGGUUAUUGACGUGCAGGGGAAAAAAAAUUCUUUUUCAUUAUCCUCAUUUUUGGAAAGAUUUCCUCGCGACUUCUUCUCCCACCAGGAGGAGGAGACAGAGGAGGACAGUGACCUGUCAGAUUAUGGUGAUGAUGUGGAUGGGAGGAAAGACGCCUUGGCUGAACCAUGUUUCAUGUUGAUUGGGGAGAUUUUUGAACUUCGAGGAACAGUGUGUUCAAAAAGUGGGUUCAGCAAGCCAGACAGAAAUCUAAAAUAGGAAUUACACUGUGUGGUGGUGGAAAACAGACACGUUGUCAAUAGCCCAGGGACAGAUGAAGCUCUCUUUCCGCUUGCGAGCUCAGCUGUUGGGAGGCAUCGAAACACUGUAAAAACUCUGGCUUCAUCUCAUCAGUUGCUUAGUAGAAAAUGAAAGCCUAGUCAGAAGAGUUUUCCUGACCUAAACCCAAAUUCUGCAGAUGUCAUAGCCAUGACUUGAUGGCAGGACUGAAAUCAUCUUAAGUGUGUUUAAAUGGGUGAGAAGAACAUUAAUUGCCCUCGUUCAGGUCACUUUCGGAAGAACCAUCAACAAACAAAUCCGGGACACAGUCAGCUGGAUUUUCAGUGAGCAAAUGUUGGUUUACUACAUCAAUAUUUUCCGGGAUGCUUUUUGGCCAAAUGGGAAGUUGGCGCCACCGACCACAAUCAGAAGCAAAGAGCAAAGUCAGGAAACAAAACAGAGAGCACAGCAAAAGCUGCUUGAAAACAUUCCAGAUAUGCUUCAGAGCCUUGUUGGACAGCAAAAUGCCCGCCAUGGUAUAAUAAAAAUAUUCAAUGCACUGCAAGAAACAAGAGCCAACAAGCAUCUGUUAUAUGCGCUGAUGGAACUGCUGCUAAUUGAACUGUGUCCUGAGCUGAGAGUUCAUUUAGAUCAACUUAAAGCUGGCCAAGUUUGAGACUACACAAAUAAACCACCAGAAAAAUGUCUGUGUAAUAAUAGACAUGAAACAUUUUCCUCUUUUCCACAGAGGGCUUAACUGAGAACCAUAUUGAUUUUUAUUUUAGUUACCUCCCUCUAGUUUUAUGUGAAAUUAGUAGAAUCAGGGAGGACGGGACUUAUGCUGUGGUAGGCAACAGAAAAAAACUUCUAUUGAUUUUAAUUUAAUAUGAAUACUUUAAAGAUCAACAUACCGAUUGAAAUACAAAUGUUAAUAUUUGAGAACCUAGGAAGUAUUUUAAAUAUUUAUGAAAAUAUUUUGUUUUAAAAUGAACUAUGAAUAUUGUACAGUUAAUUUCCUCACUGAGGACUGUGAACAUUCUUAUAUUAUUUCAUGUAUAUUGAAGAACAUUGUUAUGCAAUGCUUUGUGCAAAGUUAUUGUGAAGAUUUUAUUGUCUUUAUUUUUACCAAAGAUUUUCCAUAGUUUGAGCAUUCGAAGCAAUAAAAUAUAAAAAUGAA